GAAAAAGUUAAAGGUUGAGAAGAAAUGGCGGAAGUUCUUUGUUGAAAUAGCUGAAGGAUGAUAUGUACAGAAUGAUUGUGCACAUGUCACUAAGCUUGGACACAAAAUGGACAAUGACAUGUCACUAAGAGCAUUAGGUGCAGAGCAUUAGGUGCAGCUGAGAGACAUGGUAAAAAAGAAUUGUUUUUGAGAGCGAUAUAUUGUGGAUUCAAAUGCUUAGAUAGUAUCUAAUGUGGGUCUUUUGUUUUGAAAUGCAUGCAUGCGUGUGUGAUAUGCAGAGGCCUAACCUUGCCAUGACAAGCCUUGAUUGGCGGUUGACAGCGUACACUCACUGAAGAUAGGUCCACUUGUUAAGAAGAUGGCAAAGUGAAAAUAUGAUUCGGACUAUGUUAAGUAUGAAUUUACUUACAUAAAUGAUAAAAAUGGACAUAAGCCUCAAUGUGUGAUAUGCAGUGAAUUACUGGCACAAGAAAAUAUGAAGCCGUCCAAGUUAAAAAAAACAGUCAAAUACUUUCAAAGAGUACUUCGGGACCUGAGGACCACCGAGAAGAGACUGCUGUUCUCGUGUUUCAAAUCAGAGCAGGCACUAUGGGCCUCAUACCUUGUAGCUCAACUAAUAGCAAAGGCCAAGAAGCCACAUACAAUAGCAGAGGAGCUCAUCUUACCUGCGGCCCUGGACAUGGUCAGAGAGGUAUUAGGCCAGUCAGCAGCAAACAAGGUGAAGACCAUACCACUAUCUAAUGACACCAUAAUGCGGUGCAUUGAAGACAUGUCAGCCAACAUAAAACAACAUACCUCAGCGCAGAUUCUGGCCAGCGCAUACUAUGCAUAGCAGCUGGAUGAGUCGACAGAUAUUGCUAAUCAUGCCAUUUUGCUUGUUUACGUGAGACACGUGUGGGAUGGAGACAUACAGGAGCAGUUUCUAUGCAACCGAGACAUCCCCACGUCUACAAAGGCAGAGGACAUUUUCAAUGCUAUUGAUUUGUUUUUGGACUUUGUGGGACUGUGGUAACAACUGAUGGCGCAGCUUCCAUGACUGGAAAAAACUCAGGAGUUGUGAUGAAAAUCCUGGAGAGAGCGUUGAAUGCGACAUGGACUCACUGUUUUCUUCACCGAGAAGUACUUGUAGCUAAGGAUAUGGUGCCAGUGCUUGAUAAAACACUGAAAGAUGCCAUAAAAAUAGUGAACUACAUUAAAUGGAGCAUCAAGAACAGCCACUGUUUCACACAGCUGUGCAAAGACCUGGGAUCAGAGCACGUCCAGUUGUUGUAGCAGUUGUGGUGUUUAUUUUUAUUUUUGAGUAACAUUUCCUAAUUGCAGACAGAAAAAAAUUGACACAAAGGCUGUACUGACAGUUUUUUUUAAAGCUUUAUAAUUGAAUUAAUUUAUUUGAAAUCCUGUACUGGUGGGUCGCGACUUGACAAGUGGGUCCCAGGGUGACACCAGUUGAGAAACACUGAUCUAGUGUACAUAGAAAGAGCACGCUGUCUGAAACAGAGGAGUGGUACAAUCCACAAGGUUCAGAGAAUGACAACAACACCAGCUGUAGUUUCACUGAAGCAUAUUUUAGAACUAAGUGCUGAAGUGUUUCAUGAAGGGAGCAUUAUUAUGUGCAUUAUUUAUUUCCAAUAUGCACAAUCGAGUAAUAUGAUUAUAGAUAGGUUGAACAUAUGAAGUAAUGCACUUCAGGUGUAGAAGUCACCAAAUAUAACUUUUGCGACUCCCAAAGCUGGAAUUUCCAAGUGUCCCUGAAUGCAACCAUGAUACUGGGAUUUCCGGGUGUCACUGAAUGCAGCCAUUAUACAGCUGAACCGUAUUGCCUAAGUUGUCUGUCCAUCUUCCGUGUUUUUGGGUGAGUAGCAGUCAAUAUGUACUUAAUUUUUUUAACAGUAAAAAUUCAACUUAGGUGGUUUAAAUGAUGUACAACCGGCUUCUUGCUUAUAUGUACUGUAACUCAAGGCAAAGAAUGAAAAUGUAACCUUUCUGACAUGGCAAAGAGAACUAUUUGUGGUGAGCUAACUAAUGAGCUAAUAGUUAGCUCGUCAGCAAUGUUGUUGAUGUCAACCAUGAAGCUAAUGGUACCAUGUUAACUGAAGGUUUAAUGGAUAAACAUAAUGCAGCGCUAGAGGUGACUUUACAGAGUAAUUCACAUGGCAGCAUACGUGGUAAAUGGGAGUUGAGACAGCUAACUUAUUGCUGUUUCCCACAACGUCAAUGCUGCUAGCUACCGCACAAGCUACACUCCUGCAUAAGGUAACGACGUAAUGUGCAUGCAGGCCAUGAUUAACAGAUGCUACUCACAAAUGUCUGACUCUUACAGUGUCAUAACUACUCUUGUGUUCUUAUGAUAGUUCUUGCUAAUUGACAGUUACAAGAAAACAUAUUUACAGCCAAACUGGUAUUGAGAGGGAGCAGAAUUUUGCCAACUAUAUAUUUUGCUUAUUUCUUGUUUUGUUUUUUAAAUACUGGCAAGUUGUAUGAUAACUGCAGUGACUCAUUGCAUAUUUACACAUGUACAGCAGAUAUUAAAAUAUUGUUUCCUCUCAGACACAGAAUGUUGAUCCUGCCCUGUGCUUUACUUUGUCCUGGCUCCAGCAGUGCGCACAGCUGAGGUGCAUCAUCUCAUCAGCGGCUUCCGAGGUACCACACAGCUGAGUCAGGUUACCUAUCACCGACGCCAGUACUUAAGACAUUGGCGUACAAUCACUCAUCGCCAGUACGUUGACGAAUGCCUUCUCAUCCUUUGGCCUCAUCAUACAAGAAGCUAUGCUCACUCAGCGACACUACUAAAAAUCUCUGCCUGAGUGACCUGCUGCCAGUCAUCUCUCCUCUUCAUCUUCCUCGAGCCCAGCCAUCUCCGCUCUACCCCACCUGAGUUCGCCGGCUAUACUCACCUGUCUGAGCUUGUCUUCAUUUCCUCCAUCUGCCCUGCAUUGCCACCUCCAGCUCCCCAUCUGUGGACCCCUCGAGCUCUGCCUCCUCUGGCAGACAUUUCCAGCAUAUUGACUGUUAUCUCCAUAACUUGUUUUCUCAGUGCAAUAAAGUUUGUGAUCAGUAUUGCACCUGCCACCCGGGUCCAGCCUGUUCGCUCACUCGCCUCUGCGAGUGCUCACCAUAACACAGUUGCAUACCAUGACUGUCUGUGAUUCCACACUGCCUCUGAACAUCUGGCAAUGUGCUGACACCGUGGCCAUACAACAGCAAGUUCACAUACUGCAUAUGAAUGAAGACUUGGUGAAGACUUUGAAUCAGAAUCUGCUUUAUUGGCCAGG